GACGAACGCUGGCGGCGUGCCUAAUACAUGCAAGUGGGACGCAAGGACACACACUGUGCUUGCACACCGUGUUUUCUUGAGUCGCGAACGGGUGAGUAACGCGUAGGUAACCUGCCUAUUAGCGGGGGAUAACUAUUGGAAACGAUAGCUAAUACCGCAUAAUAUUAAUUAUUGCAUGAUAAUUGAUUGAAAGAUGCAAGCGCAUCACUAGUAGAUGGACCUGCGUUGUAUUAGUUAGUUGGUAAGGUAAGAGCUUACCAAGGCGACGAUACAUAGCCGACCUGGGAGGGUGAUCGGCCACACUGGGACGGAGACAAGGCCCAGACUCCUACGGGAGGCAGCAGUAGGGAAUCUUCGGAAAUGGACGAAAGUCUGACCGAGCAACGCCGCGUGAGGGAAGAAGGGUUUCGGAUCGUAAAGCUCGGUUGUAAGUCAAGAACGUGUGUGAGAGUGGAAAGUUCACACAGUGACGGUAGCUUACCAGAAAGGGACGGCUAACUACGUG
rnacentral:rRNA from 1 species